rnacentral:rRNA from 2 species
ACUUAAAUUGAAGAGUUUGAUCAUGGCUCAGAUUGAACGCUGGCGGCAGGCCUAACACAUGCAAGUCGAGCGGCAGCGGGAAAGUAGCUU